rnacentral:rRNA from 1 species
GGGGUUUGGGGAGGUUCAGCCUUUUAUUCGGGCACUCAACGGAUAAGGACCUUGCUCCUUGAUUCCUGGCCGGUAUGGUUUCUGUACUUGCCAGGGAUUCUGCCUGGUGAUCCCGGAGGGAACACCUUUUCAAAAGGAACUCUUAAUACCCGAUACUUCCUAGGGUAAAAAAGCGGGGAACCUUCAGGCCUUCCCGUACUCAAAUAACGCUAUGUCGGAUUAGCUAUUUGGGGGGGUAUGGCCUCACCAAGGCAACGACUCUUAACUGGUCUGAAAGGAUGAUCAGUCACGCUGACACUGAAAUGCGGUCCAGUCCGCUCUUCGGGAGCGCAUCGUUGGGGAAUAUUGCACAAGGGGCGAACCGCUAAUCCGCCCGUGCCGCGUGUGUGAAGAAGUUUUCCGUAUUGUAAACCACUUUAAUUUGGAAGAGAGGGCAUUAAGUUAUACCCUUUGCUGUUUGGACUUUACUGACAGAAUACCGCCCGCCUACUUCGGUGCUAUCUCAGCGCUGUAAUACAGAGGUUGCAAUCUUUACUCGGAUUUACUGGGAGUAAGCGCGCGUAGGUGGUUGUACGUUGAUAGUUAAGCCCAGGGUCUACCCUGGGACUGCUCCAAAGUGGCAACUAAUGUCGGUCAGAGGUGGUGAAUUCCCUGGUAGCGUGAAUGUUAGAUUAGGAAGGACCCCAGUGGCGAGGUGCACACCUGACUGUACCUGACCUGAGUGCGAAGCGUGGGACAAACAGGUUGUGACACCUCGGCUAGUGCGGCCGUCACGAUCUCAACAGCCUUGGAAUCCUUGAGAUUUCAUGCGCCCAGUCCGGCAUUAGUUGCCGCCUGGGAGCCGUCCCAAGGUUAGAACUCGGACUGAAUUACGGGGGUCCGCACAAGCGGUGGAGCAUGUUGGUUUCCUUCAAAUCAACGAGAAGAACCUUACCAGGCCUUACAUGCAGAGAACUCUCCAGAGAUGGAUUGGUGCCUUCGGGAGGUCAGACACAGGCGCCGCAUGGCUGUCGUCAGCUCGUUUCUUGCGAUGUUGGGUUAAGUUCCGUAACGAGCCCAACCCUUGUCCUUAGUUACCAGCAGGUUAUGGUGGGCACUCUAAGGAGAUUUCUGGCGACACACCGGAGGAAGGGGGGGAGGACGUCAAGUCAUUAUGGCCCUUACGGCCUGGGCUACACACGCGCUACAAUGGUCGGUCCAGAGGGUUGCCAAGCCGCGAGGUGGAGCUAAUCUCACAAAACCGAUUUUAGUCCGGAUCGCAGUAGUGCAACUCCGAGCUGUGUGCAGUCGGAAUCUGCUAGUAAUCGCGAAUCAGAAUGUAGCGGUGAAUACCUUCCCGGGCCUUGUACACACCGCCGGUCACACCAUGGGAGUGGGUUGCACCAGAAGUAGUUCAGUUAACCUUUGGAGGUUGUCCGUGUCAGUCGUGUACGCGGCAGUAAAUUAAUUCAAUAAAAUUCCUUU